CGGGGCGGGCGCGAGCGACACGCUAUUCGUGGGGGCGCAGAGCUCUGGGGUUGCAGUUCCGGUUGGGAGGGGUGGGGCCGAGCGCUGUGAAGUGAAGAGGGCGAGGCCGGGUGUUUGUUGAACUGGCCCGCGUAACCUCUGUUUCGUCUUUGGUAAACAAUGUCCUUUGCUGUGCGUCUCCUUUUGCCUGAUUUGGUGGCUUCCUCUGACCUGAGUCCUUAGAAUAUCGAGGGAAGAAGUAGAGCUAGGACUUCCAGUACAAUGUUGAAUAGAAGUCAUCAGUGAAUGAAUCAUGACUACCAUACAACAUAUGGAAAAAUGCUUAUGGACCUAUUGUUAAGGGGAAAAAUGACACAACAUGCACACGAUAAUUACAUCUGGGUAAAGAAUAUUACACAGGAGCAAGAUGGCAGAGGAAUAGGAGACCUGGAUUUC